rnacentral:rRNA from 1 species
GGUUAAGCGACUAAGCGUACACGGUGGAUGCCCUGGCAGUCAGAGGCGAUGAAGGGCGUGCUAAUCUGCGAUAAGCGCCGGUAAGGUGAUAUGAACCGUUAUAACCGGCGAUACCCGAAUGGGGAAACCCAGUGUGACUCGUCACACUAUCAUUAACUGAAUCCAUAGGUUAAUGAGGCGAACCGGGGGAACUGAAACAUCUAAGUACCCCGAGGAAAAGAAAUCAACCGAGAUUCCCCCAGUAGCGGCGAGCGAACGGGGAGGAGCCCAGAGCCUGAAUCAGCAUGUGUGUUAGUGGAAGCGUCUGGAAAGGCGCGCGAUACAGGGUGACAGCCCCGUACACAAAAGCGCAUGUGCUGUGAGCUCGAUGAGUAGGGCGGGACACGUGGUAUCCUGUCUGAAUAUGGGGGGACCAUCCUCCAAGGCUAAAUACUCCUGACUGACCGAUAGUGAA